UACGUAGGGUGCGAGCGUUGUCCGGAAUUACUGGGCGUAAAGAGCUCGUAGGUGGUUUGUCGCGUUGUUCGGGAAAACUCACAGCUCAACUGUGGGCGUGCGGGCGAUACGGGCAGACUGGAGUACUGCAGGGGAGACUGGAGUUCCUGGUGUAGCGGUGGAAUGCGCAGAUAUCAGGAGGAACACCGGUGGCGAAGGCGGGUCUCUGGGCAGUAACUGACGCUGAGGAGCGAAAGCGUGGGGAGCGAACAGG
rnacentral:rRNA from 1 species